GGGCACAUGGCGCAGUUGGUAGCGCGCCAGCUUUGCAUGUUGGAGGUCAUCGGUUCGACUCCGGUUGUGUCCA
rfam:Hanseniaspora opuntiae strain AWRI3578 Hanseniaspora_opuntiae_AWRI3578_scaffold4, whole genome shotgun sequence.